rnacentral:rRNA from 1 species
CCUACGGGUGGCAGCAGUGGGGAAUAUUGCACAAUGGGGGCAACCCUGAUGCAGCGACGCCGCGUGAGUGAAGAAGUAAUUCGUUAUGUAAAGCUCUAUCAACAGGGAAGAAAAUGACGGUACCUGAGUAAGAAGCCCCGGCUAACUACGUGCCAGCAGCCGCGGUACUACGUAGGGGGCAAGCGUUAUCCGGAUUUACUGGGUGUAAAGGGGGCGUAGACGGGAGGGCAAGUCUGGAGUGAAAGGCGGGGGAUCAACCCUCGGACUGCUCUGGAAACUGUACGGCUGGAGUGCAGGAGAGGUAAGCGGAAUUCCUAGUGUAGCGGUGAAAUGCGUAGAUAUUAGGAGGAACACCAGUGGCGAAGGCGGCUUACUGGACUGUAACUGACGUUGAGGCUCGAAAGCGUGGGGAGCAAACAGGAUUAGAUACCCCGGUAGUC